rnacentral:rRNA from 1 species
AACGAACGCUGGCGGCAGGCUUAACACAUGCAAGUCGAGCGCCCCGCAAGGGGAGCGGCAGACGGGUGAGUAACGCGUGGGAACGUACCCUUUGCUACGGAAUAGCUCCGGGAAACUGGAAUUAAUACCGUAUGUGCCCUACGGGGGACAGAUUUAUCGGCAAAGGAUCGGCCCGCGUUGGAUUAGCUAGUUGGUGGGGUAAUGGCCUACCAAGGCGACGAUCCAUAGCUGGCCUGAGAGGAUGAUCAGCCACAAUGGGACUGAGACACGGCCCAAAAUCGUACGGGAGGCAGCAGUGGAGAAUAUUGGACAAUGGGCGCAAGCCUGAUCCAGCCAUGCCGCGUGAGUGAUGAAGGCCUUAGGGUUGUAAAGCUCUUUCACCGGAGAAGAUAAUGACGGUAUCCGGAGAAGAAGCCCCGGCUAACUUCGUGCCAGCAGCCGCCGUAACAC